UUGACAUCCAAUGCAACCCAACAGGUUAAUCAGUGUAACCCUCGGCUACUUUAACUCUCUCCACCUCUUCCCAUUAGGUUAAAUCACUUUUUUUUUUCUCAAUUUCAACGGAUUCCCCUGUUUUCAAUUCUCUCUCUGCUUGGAACCUGUUGCUUCUUAUAGAAUUGAUGGAACAUAUAGAUGAAGUCGAAGAGUCGAUUGAAGUCAGCUCUAGAAGUGUAUGUAGGAAGACUUCUAAGGUAUGGGAUCACUUUUGGAAGUUACCACUUGACACUAAUCCGGAUAGUAGGUUGAGGGCAAAAUGUAAAGAAUGUGGUCAGGUAUAUUUGGCAGAUUCUACGGCCGGAACUUCAAACUUAAAGUGUCAUCGAGCUAAACGCCAUAGCCAUGUGUCAGAAUCGGGUCGUUAUCCAGUUGUGAAUAAUGAAAUGUUCCGUGAAUUGAUGGCCAAAGCUAUAGUAAGGCAUAGUUUACCUUUUACAUUUGUGGAAAAUGAAGGGAUAAGAGAGAUACUUAGUUUCUUGAAUCCUAUAGUUUCUUGAAUCCUACUGUCAAGACUAUUUCAAGAAAUACUUCAAAGGUUGAUGUUUUAAAAUUAUAUCAGAAGCAAAAAGAAAUAGUUCAUAAUGAAAUUGCAAAAAUUCCUAGUAGAGUGUGCUUGACUACUGAUUUGUGGACAUCAAUUACCUUAAAUGGUUACUUUGUUUGACAGCUCAUUAUGUUGACUUGAAUUGGAUUUUACAGAAGAGGAUUCUGAUAUUCCGUCAUGUGCCUCCUCCGCAUACUGGUCAAGUUUUGGGGCCAAUAUUGAUUAACUUUUUGAAGGAAUGGGGAAUCGAGAAGAAAAUAUUUUUGAUAACCUUAGAUAAUGCAAGUUACAAUGAGAAAAUUGUGGAUAGUUUGAAAGAGAACUCAAACUUGAUGGAUUCUUUGGUAUGUGACAGGGACUUUCUCCAUAUUCGUUGUGCAAAUCAUAUCUUAAAUCUGAUUGUGAAAGCAGGUCUAAAGUCAAUAGAAGCUUCCAUCUUUAACAUAAGAGAAAGUAUUAAAUAUGUGAAAGGUUCCGAGUCGAGGAUACUAAAGUUUGUGGAUUGUAUCAAGAAUCUUGGAUUGAAGUUGACCGGGAAAGUGCGUCAAGAUGUGCCUACGAGAUGGAACUACACAUUUCUUAUGAUUAACAGUGCAAUUCCUUAUCGUCGGGCCUUUUUUGACUUUAAAUUACUUGAUGUGAAAUUUAAAUGCUGCCCUUCAGAAAUGGAUUGGUAUAAGGCAGAAACAAUUGCCAAAUUCCUAAAACCUUUUGAUGAAAUCACUACUUUGUUCUCGGGAAGCCAAUAUCCGACGGCCAAUUUAUUUUUUCAGAAAGUGUGGGAAAUUCAUUUGUUGAUACUAUAAGAGAAAAAUAGUCAACACUCUGAUAUCAGGGAAAUGGCGGAGGAAAUGGAAAAGAAAUUUUCAAAGUAUUGGGAAGAGUAUACUCCAGUUUUAUC